GCAACGAGCGCAACCCUUGCCAUCAGUUGCUACGAAAGGGCACUCUGAUGGGACUGCCGGUGACAAACCGGAGGAAGGUGGGGAUGACGUCAAGUCCUCAUGGCCCUUAUAGGUGGGGCUACACACGUCAUACAAUGGCCGGUACAAAGGGCAGCCAACCCGCGAGGGGGAGCCAAUCCCAUAAAGCCGGUCGUAGUCCGGAUCGCAGUCUGCAACUCGACUGCGUGAAGUCGGAAUCGCUAGUAAUCGUGGAUCAGCAUGUCACGGUGAAUACGUUCCCGGGUCUU
rnacentral:rRNA from 1 species